GCCAGACUCCUACGGGAGGCAGCAGUGAGGAAUAUUGGUCAAUGGCCGUAAGGCUGAACCAGCCAAGUAGCGUGAGGGAAGACUGCCCUAUGGGUUGUAAACCUCUUUUAUGCGGGGAUAAAGGUGUCCACGUGUGGAUGUUUGCAGGUACCGCAUGAAUAAGGACCGGCUAAUUCCGUGCCAGCAGCCGCGGUAAUACGGAAGGUCCGGGCGUUAUCCGGAUUUAUUGGGUUUAAAGGGUGCGUAGGCGGGCUUUUAAGUCAGCGGUAAAAAUUCGGGGCUCAACCCCGUCCGGCCGUUGAAACUGGGGGCCUUGAGUGGGCGAGAAGAAGGCGGAAUGCGUGGUGUAGCGGUGAAAUGCAUAGAUAUCACGCAGAACUCCGAUUGCGAAGGCAGCAUACCGGCGCUCAACUGACGCUCAUGCACGAAAGCGUGGGUAUCGAACAGGAUUAGAUACCCCGGUA
rnacentral:rRNA from 1 species